GAAAAUUGAGAGAGCUCUGUAGAAAUUAGAAUCCGAGCAUGCAUUAGACGAAUUAGAUAAUAUCUUCACAUAAUCUUACAAUCCCACAACGUUACUCGAAAGAUUGGUGUACCCUGCAAAUAAUUCUGUGUUUACCUCACGUUUAGAAGAAACGAAGGGAAAUUAUGGUUAAUCAGGGGGGAGGAGGAGUAGCGGUUGCGCAAAUACCAACCAGCUUUGGGCAUGAGCUGAGAGCCUGCCUUCGCUGCCGACUUGUCAAGACCUACGACCAGGUUGGCUUAACCUCCAAAUGCAGUCCUUUGUUUUGGCUUUUACGCUUUACUUUUGAUUAAUUGCCAUUACACUAAGAAAUGCAUGACUUUUGCUAGUUUAGGGAAUCGUGGGUGCGAGAACUGCCCCUUCUUUCAGAUGGAAGAUGACCAUGAAAGAGUUGUUGACUGCACAACCCCCAAUUUCACAGGGUGUGAUUCCUUUCAGUCUUCCUCUUUGCCUGAAAAGAAUGUUGAUUCAAUUAGAACCUCGUUUCUCAAUCUACUACGAAUAUUGACUGGUUUAUGUGUACAGGUUAAUCUCUGUCAUGGAUCCGACUAGAAGUUGGGCUGCCCGUUGGCUCCGCAUUGGUACGCUACUUAUAUGCUUCUUUAUUUUUUGCUGAUAAUUUUUUACAUUAGUUAGCAAUUGUGUCCUAUCAUGAAUGGAAAUGAUGAUCAUUCUGACUGCAGACUUUUACAUAUGUGAAAUCAUGAAUCUUAGUAUUAUUUUUUUAGAUGAGAUUUGUGCUUUGUAUGUACAAAUGAGUGGCUGUUUUGACUGGUAAUAUUUCUUUGUCCAAUUUUUUUUUUUGCUUGUAGUAUUUUUCAUUUAGAGCAUUUUUUGCCGCACCCUACAUGACCAACUAUAUAGUAAUUUAUAAAUUUUUCCUAUCUAAGAAUUUAUUACUAGCCAAUAGUUAAGCACCGUGAUUAUCUGUCCAAGGGUUGAUGGAACCACCGUUUCCUUCGGACCCCUUCACUUUCACAAGAUCCAGAAGAGAACCCGCCAGGGAUAACCCUUAGGAUCAUUUCCAGAAAACUAUUUCAAAAACUGCAAUGCUAAGCCAGGCAUGCUGCUGUGUUUUUCUGCUUACUAUGCUCUAAGGUUGCAAGCCUUUCAUCAAAUUCCUAAUGCUGACUUCAAUAUGAAACUAGAUAAUGUAAUAGAAAAGGCUGCAUCUGUUUUCUUCAGGCAGUGCUUCUUNUAUAUAUAUAUAUAUAUAUAUAGGGGCGCGCUCCAGUAAGACCCCCUAUUUUCGUGUAACAUGAGUACAAUGAAUAAGUACAUAUAAUACUAAUGAACAAAACGUAUAUCUAAUGAACAAGAUGCAUAUACUGAUGAAAAUAAAUUAAAAAUUCAUAAUGAAUAAGAUAUAUAUACUGAUGAACAAGGCCGUAUAUACUGAUGAACAAUGCAGUAUAUACUGAUGAAUAACAAAAUUUAAAAUAUUCUGCUCCCUCCAUGAUUCGAACCCUGCGAAAAAAAAUCUACCCACCAGAUACAAUAUCAGCCAUAGGAUUGAUAAAUAAACUCACGAGAUGGUGGGGUACACUUGCUAAAAAGGGUACUCAUUUGUGGCGGCAAAGAAUAUUACUCAUUGUAAAGUAUAUAUUUUUUGGAGCUAUAUACAUUUGUGCAUUUUCAUGAAUUAAAUAUUUCAUAUUUUGAUUCUUAAAACAAUAAUUUGAAAUCCAAAUAUAAAUGGACUGAAUUGACGCUCAUCUCCAAUUCAAACCAGCAACCCAGAAUGGAAUAGAAGGAUUUGAUUACUGUGUUUUAUUUUCCUACUUGCACAAUAAAAAGUGAGAAAGCUGCAAAAAUUCGGUUUUAUCCAAACCGAACCGAAUCAGUUUGGGUGAACAAUUCGGUUCGGAUCACUUUGGGUUAGAAACAAAAUUCGGUUUUCAGGUUUUUGGGUUUCGGUCCAAGCUAAAUAAAUCCAGAAACUUCAGGAGCAGAAACCAUAAGAAAUUUGAAACCUCUCACAAAGACGCGGGUUGGUUGAAGCUUGUGAGUUGUGAUACUGCUUGUACAAUUCGAUUGACAACUGUUCAAGGUACUUUAUUGCAUAAUUUUACCUUUCUAUUUCUGUUUCUUGAAUGUUUUCGUUCGAGACGAAUCGUUAUCAAAACCUCUUUCCUGUUUGUAGAAUCGAAAAAUUAGAGAAUUGGUUUUGAUGUGGGCUCGCUAAGGGUAAAGGAGAAUGAAAGGAAGAUAAUCAAAUUUUGUUUGGUUUUCACGUCUUAUCUGUUUGCCCAUCAAGUGUUCGACGAAAUUCAGAAUAAAGUUAUUGUAGGUUUCUUGAGUGAGAAAUGAAGGAAAAUUGAGAGAGCUCUGUAGAAAUUAGAAUCCGAGCAUGCAUUAGACGAAUUAGAUAAUAUCUUCACAUAAUCUUACAAUCCCACAACGUUACUCGAAAGAUUGGUGUACCCUGCAAAUAAUUCUGUGUUUACCUCACGUUUAGAAGAAACGAAGGGAAAUUAUGGUUAAUCAGGGGGGAGGAGGAGUAGCGGUUGCGCAAAUACCAACC
rnacentral:lncRNA from 1 species